AUAACAAAUUCUCUCCUUGAUGUUUAGUCCAUCAUCCAUUCCUGUUACUCGAAGGUAUAUCAAUCUAUAAAACCAAAAUAAAGCAGUGGCUGAGAGGAACAAUUGGCAAGCAGAGGAGGGGGAGGAGGAGGGCCACAGAGAUUAUAAAAUAGGAAAUAUAUCAUAUGACCAACAAACAGAUAUAAUUCUGUUAUCAAAAUUAAACAUGUAAAAUUAAAAUUGUCAAGCAUCUUGUUACAGCUCCAAGUUGCCAAAAUCAAAGGGAAAGUGUUGAGAAGGUCUAGUGAAAAUUUUAAUUUAUUACUAUGUGAUUUUGUCAGUUCAAAGAACGUCAGUCAAGGCAGAGAGAAAAAAUAUAAGAUAACAGCCAACUUCAGUAAGGCCUGAGAUAAAACUGGGUGGCAAAGAUGAAAAUAUACAACAAUCAUAGUGGAGUCAAAUUGAAACCUCACUGAUGCAUUUCCUAUGUGCUUGAGAAAAAUAGGAUAUAAAAUCAGUAUUAUGACUUUCCAUACUACUUGGAAAAAGUGAAUACCAUGGCUGUAAGAUUAUUUGAUCGGCCAGGUCAGACACAAACAUUGCAUAGUUGCUGGCCCUGGUGAUCAGAAAAUGAAACAUGCAAUGCAAGCAUGGGUAAUUAAAAGUAGGCAAUGCCGAUCAAAUUGUUGCGGCAUACUAUUACCCUCACCAUUACUAAGGACACUCAAAUGUUUUUAACUUGGACUUUCUUUUUUCUUUCUCUAGCCUGUUGUAUGUACACAAAAGCGUCAGGAUCCCUUAAACAGAUGUUUAAUACCUGUGCCAUGCUUGCUCAUAGCUGAAAAUUGAACUUUUUACCAGUUUCACUGUAGGAGCCUCAGUGGUGCCAUCACUUCGUUGUAAAGCGGAUAUGAAGGAUUCUUCACUUUUACUGCUUGUGUAAACAAUGAGAGGCUUAGCCUGAUAUUUUA
rnacentral:misc_RNA from 1 species